rnacentral:rRNA from 1 species
UACGUAGGGUGCGAGCAUUAAUCGGAUUUAUUGGGCGUAAAGGGCGCGUAGGCGGGGAAGUAAGUCAGAUGUGAAAUCCCGGGGCUCAACCUCGGAACAGCAUUUGAAACUACUUCUCUAGAGGGUAGGAGGAGAAAACGGAAUUCCACAAGUAGCGGUGAAAUGCGUAGAUAUGUGGAAGAACACCGGUGGCGAAGGCGGUUUUCUAUCUUAUACCUGACGCUAAUGCGCGAAAGCAAGGGGAGCAAACAGG